rnacentral:rRNA from 1 species
UACAGAGGUCUCAAGCGUUGUUCGGAUUCACUGGGCGUAAAGGGUGCGUAGGUGGUCAGGUAAGUCGGAUGUGAAAUCUCCGAGCUCAACUCGGAAACUGCAUUGGAAACUACCUGGCUCGAGGGUUGGAGGGGGGACUGGAAUGCUUGGUGUAGCAGUGAAAUGCGUAGAUAUCGGGAGGAACACCAGUGGCGAAGGCGACUUCCUGGCCUGUUCUUGACGCUGAGGCGCGAAAGCUAGGGGAGCAAACGGG